UGCAUGUUGAACGGAAUAUUUUAGUUCGCUAAAAUAUUUAGUAGCAAAUGGGUGAGUAACACGUACCUAACCUACCUUUUGGACUGGGAUAACCAUUGGAAACAGUGGCUAAUACCGGAUAUGAUAAAAAUUUGCAUGAAUUUUUAUUCAAAGGAGCCUUCAAGCUUCACCAAGAAAUGGGGGUGCGCAACAUUAGUUAGUUGGUAGGGUAAAAGCCUACCAAGACGAUGAUGUUUAGCGGGGCCAAGAGGUUGUACCGCCACACUGGGAUUGAGAUACGGCCCAGACUCCUACGGGAGGCAGCAGUAAGGAAUAUUCCACAAUAAGCGAAAGCUUGAUGGAGCGACACAGCGUGCAGGAUGAAGUCUUUCGGGAUGUAAACUGCUGUUGUAAGGGAAGAAAAAACUAGAUAGGAAAUGCUCUAGUCUUGACGGUACCUUAUUAGAAAGCGACGGCAAACUAUGUGCCAGCAGCCGCGGUAAUACAUAGGUCGCAAGCGUUAUCCGGAAUUAUUGGGCGUAAAGCGUCCGUAGGUUUUUUGUUAAGUUUAAAGUUAAAUGCUAAAGCUCAACUUUAGUCCGCUUUAGAUACUGGCAAAAUAGAAUUAUGAAGAGGUUAGCGGAAUUCCUAGUGGAGUGGUGGAAUACGUAGAUAUUAGGAAGAACACCAAUAGGCGAAGGCAGCUAACUGG
rnacentral:rRNA from 2 species